UCAAUCCUGCAGCAGUGUUGACGUCAACCUGGGAAUAUUACAGAGAAGAUUAUCAUAGCCCCUUGAAAAGAUGCCUCACCAAUUUGUAACGUUGCCAUAUUUUU
ensembl:snRNA U6 U6 spliceosomal RNA